rnacentral:tRNA from 1 species
GCCUUCGUGGUGUAAAGGUAUCACACUCGGCGCAUAUUCGAGAGGUCCAGGUUCAAAUCCCGGUGAGGGCA